rnacentral:rRNA from 1 species
CAGGUACAGCGGGAAGCCACCUGGCGACAGGGAGCGGAACCCGAAAGCCUGUCUCAGUUCGGAUUGGAGUCUGCAACCCGACUCCAUGAAGCUGGAUUCGCUAGUAAUCGCGCAUCAGCCACGGCGCGGUGAAUACGUUCCCGGGCCUUGUACACACCGCCCGUCAAGCCAUGGAAGCUGGGGGUGCCUGAAGUUCGUGACCGCAAGGAGCGACCUAGGGCAAAACCGGUGACUGGGGCUAAGUCGUAACAAGGUAAC